UCCCUGGUGGCUCAGAGGGUAAAGCAUCUGCCUGCAAUGUGGAAGACCUGGGUUUGAUCUCCAGGUCAGGAAG
rfam:Ovis aries breed Texel chromosome 9, whole genome shotgun sequence.